CAGGAGAAGCAGAUGCCACACUCAGAGCAGGACUGAGGCUUCUCACCUGUAUGCGUGUGCCUAUGAAUGGCCAAGGGAGCCUCUUUGGUGCACGCACCACACGCAGUCAAAGCACCAGUAGGGCUUCUCUCCUGCGUGGAUAAGCUGGUGCUGGAGCAAGUUUCCCAGUCAGCAAGGGGAGUGCCACACUGUAGGCAGUGGUGGCAGUGCUCACCCAAGUGCGUGUGCCUGGUGGUGGCCACAAGGGAGGGGAAUGCAAACUGGCACCCACAUCUGUGCACACAUCCGCAUAUGUGCAUGGACAGCGCCCUCCUCAGGUGGAAGAGGUGGCUGCAGUCGGAGCCCUUGCAGAGCUCGUCCCCUGUGUGGGGGCAGCUGGUGCUGGACCAGGCUCCAGAUGUUCCUAUAGAUAACUACAAGGAACAACUGCACCUGGUGUGUGACUGUCCUCAGCAUUCCUUCUGGUGGCAGAUGCAGUUGUCAGCUUGCCAACAUCCUGCAUUCAUGAGAACAGUGUGCUGUUUGCUCAUAUAGCCUCCAGUGGUAUACUGAGUUGGUCACGACCCUCAUUCUUUCGGCCUCCAACAUCUCCCCCUUUCUGUUUUUGCAUUAAUUGAAUAAAGGUAAUUGCAGGCUGUGCAGCUCUCAA